GAUGAACGCUGGCGGCGUGCCUAAUACAUGCAAGUCGAGCGAACGGACGAGAAGCUUGCUUCUCUGAUGUUAGCGGCGGACGGGUGAGUAACACGUGGAUAACCUACCUAUAAGACUGGGAUAACUUCGGGAAACCGGAGCUAAUACCGGAUGAUAUUUUGAACCGCAUGGUUCAAAAGUGAAAGACGGUCUUGCUGUCACUUAUAGAUGGAUCCGCGCUGCAUUAGCUAGUUGGUAAGGUAACGGCUUACCAAGGCAACGAUGCAUAGCCGACCUGAGAGGGUGAUCGGCCACACUGGAACUGAGACACGGUCCAGACGCCUACGGGAGGCAGCAGUAGGGAAUCUUCCGCAAUGGGCGAAAGCCUGACGGAGCAACGCCGCGUGAGUGAUGAAGGUCUUCGGAUCGUAAAACUCUGUUAUUAGGGAAGAACAUAUGUGUAAGUAACUGUGCACAUCUGGACGGUACCUAAUCAGAAAGCCACGGCUAACUACGU
rnacentral:rRNA from 1 species